rnacentral:rRNA from 1 species
UGGGGAAUUUUGGACAAUGGGCGAAAGCCUGAUCCAGCAAUGCCGCGUGUGUGAAGAAGGCCUUCGGGUUGUAAAGCACUUUUGUCCGGAAAGAAAUCCUUGGCUCUAAUACAGUCGGGGGAUGACGGUACCGGAAGAAUAAGCACCGGCUAACUACGUGCCAGCAGCCGCGGUAAUACGUAGGGUGCAAGCGUUAAUCGGAAUUACUGGGCGUAAAGCGUGCGCAGGCGGUUUGCUAAGACCGAUGUGAAAUCCCCGGGCUCAACCUGGGAACUGCAUUGGUGACUGGCGAGGCUAGAGUAUGGCAGGAGGGGGUAGAACUUCCACGUGUAGCAGUGAAAUGCGUAGAGAUGUGGAGGAAUACCGAUGGCGAAGGCAGCCCCUGGCAAUACUGACGCUCAUGCACGAAAGCGUGGGGAGCAAACAGGAUUCAGAUACCCCUGGUAGUCCAGCGCCCUAAACGAUGUCAACUAGUUGUUGGGA